rnacentral:tRNA from 1 species
GCGCCUGUAGCUCAGUUGGACAGAGCAACGGACUUCUAAUCCGUGGGUCAGGGGUUCGAAUCCCUUCAGGCGCACCA